UUGUGUAACUCAGGCUGAGGUCACGGAAACCCCGUCUCCGUCUGUGAGAGCAGGUGACACCGUGUCCGUGGUCUCCGUCCCAGUGCUGUGCCCAAACCCUGGCUUCAGUCUGUCGAAUUCACCGGAAGCCGACCAACAGCCUGUCAGUGCCCGAGUGGAAGUGAGCGUGUUCCUGCUCUCGUGGAGGGGCUGGGUUUUUGCAGGCGUUUACAGACGGGCUUCAGAGGCAGUGAGGAAGGCCGGGCGGGUUAAGGAAGCCGCAAAACCAGGACCCGAACUCCCGGAGCAUGCUUUGCAUUGAGGUCCAGAGGCAGCUGUCCUUCCACUCAGGGGACAGCAUAGGCAACACCAGCACGAUGCCUUUUCCCAGCCAGCCCUGGAGCAGAGAUCUGAGUUCACACUGCAGUUCCAGCCCCUGGUCAGAUCAGGAGCUGUCUCUUCUCAAGGCAGAGUAGGUGGGACCAACCACCCCAGGACCCCCAGAGGCAGCUGGACUUUGGACAGUGACCGGUGUUGCUCAAGGGACAGCAGCCUGGACCCUAAUACCAGUCACUCCAGAAAGACUUUCACCAACACACCAAUCUUCAUCCUUCCCCACUGAGCCGCAUCUGCCGAACCACCCUCACACGCCUGCUUUCCUGCCGGCGACUGUUGCCUUCACCGGAAGAGCCGAGGUUACUCAGCCCCUGCAGCUGCCUCAGCA